ensembl:lncRNA
AUAUAUAUAUAUAUAUAUAAUAAAUAAAUAAAUAUAUAUAUGUAUAUAUAUACCAUUGCAUAUAUAUACACAAAUGUUGAGUUUAUGCUUAAGCCUGAAUAAUGAAUAAUAUAUAAAUAUAUUUCAAUAUUGUCAAUAAUAUAACAAUGACAAAAACAGCAGGUCCCAGAAUCAGUUUUGGAAGAAAAUCCUUUGUCAUCUUCAGGGCGGUGCCAAAGUGGAGAGGGCUAUAGAAUAGAGGUCUUGUUGAUGCUCUUCAAAAUGGUACUUAGAGAAUGGGAGCGGGACGGAGGAGGCCUAAUGAAAUAUUUAAGAUUAUAAAGGAACUCUGAAAAAGUUUGCAACAAAGGGGUCUGCCGAGAGCCUCCAUUGUCUCGGGGCCUGGCGGAAGCAGGGGCCAAGUUGCUACAGAUAUGAGGAGGGCCCAUAUUGAGCAGUGAUGUGUAGGCUCUGCUCACAGCUGUGUCGCCGCGCUGCCGCCCCAGCCACCAGCCCCCUGCCUUUGUGAGCCUUUGUGUGGACCACAGAGCGGCGAUUUUACACCAAGCUGAUUGCACAGCAACGGCUUUGUGUCGCCAACAAGAAGGCCUCGCCCAUUCUUGACCAUCGGCGCUCACUCCCUCUGCAUCGUGGACACACACACACACACACACACACACACACACACAUCCCAAUCCCAUCAGCCUACACUGACUUUGAGCCUCAUGGGUUUUUAGUACUUGCAAAUGACAUGGUGAUGAAUCUUCUUUCAGUGGGCUGAUAUGAACUGUGGAGGAUGGUGGUUGGUUGUGUGUGGGGGGGGGGGGGUCACUCGUCCUGGGUCCCACAGGAUCUGACUAUUUAGUGCCUAACUGCUUUUGAUUAAUGGAGAGCCCAUUCUUUGUAACAUAUGCCAUUUUCAGGACCCAAAAGAGGGCCGCAUUUGCUGAUGUUUCUGAGUAAUGAUGUCACGAGGUCACAGUGGCACUGAAUGAGUGAAAUGAGGGGAGAAAUGUGGCCUUUUCAUUUGUGAAGGAGCAGUCAAUCCAACGUCUGGUGGGAAGUAAAUGUGUUUAAGUCCCUGGUUAUGUGUUUUUGGUGAGGAGAAUGAGCUUAAAUUGACCAAUUUAAUGAGCAAACAAGCUAAAUCUUGUUACGGCCAGUUUCAUCUUACACACACAUAAAAAAAAGACAAAAAUAAAGUUGAGCUUCUCAGCUUGUCAAAAGUUUUAGUCGUGGAUCUGAGUUUUAUGCAUCUGCUCUUUUAUUGUACUCAUCUUAUGCUUGACCUCAGACAUGACUUGACCCUGCAAAUAAGAGUGAAACCCCCCUGGAUGCUGUGCCAUUCCCUUUAAAUCCUCUGGUGCAUUCAGGGCUGAGAGGCGAGUUCAGGCCAGAGCACAACAAGGACGCAGUAGCUUAACACCGACUUUAACACAUGGCUCCCUCCAUCCCAGCUCAUAGAGUCUUCUUCAAAUGAAACUAAGAAAUACUCAAAACUGUGACCAGAACUCCAUCAACACCAAAACGACAACCCGUAAAUUCUUUUAAUUUUUAGUUCAUUUCAGUUAAUAAUCAGGUUAAAGGGUCAGUUUACUCAUUUACCAUUGAGGGUAUUUUCCAUGAUAUUUAAACUUUUUGUCCAUUUAUCUAUUCUUUGACAGGUCACCCUCUAACAGUCACAAAAAUAUUUCCCUUUACGUUUCUAUUUUCCUUCUAAUUUUUGUGAAUUAGAAGGAAAAUAGCCCUAAAUGUAAUUCUAACUUCCAUUUUCCGGAAACAACUCUCUCAGAGAAAGGAAUCUCAAAUCCUGGUUGAAUAUGAAACUCCAACGUUCUUCAUGACCAUUUAUUUGUUUUCUUUGGCUGAGACCAAAACAAAGUGAGUGUGUCGCUCUGCCAACGCCGGGACGCGCAGUGACUGUUUGAAUCCGCCCUGCCAGAGUUAUGGCGAGCAGUAUAUAGACUCACUCCGCUGGGAUGAUUGACAUCCUCUAAUAGAUCUGAGACCGUUGGAGCGAGUCGGGCAGCACGCAGAGCUUGACACAAACCAGACACAUGACUAGUCAACCUGUUAGCUUCCUCUUUCUUUAAGCGGCGCUUUGCUGGCUGCACCUUCCUGGCAGUUUGCCUCUCUGUUCUUCACAAAGACCUGUCACCUUCAGUGGCCUGUUGGCCGAGUGGGCUGCGCCGGCUCCGUGGAAGAAAGCCCCGCGAGGGAACGCUCAUGGUCAGCUAAUGCAGCUUAAUAUUCUUCAAAAAAAGGGUUCGGGGGACAAUUAAGAGUGUUUCCCAUGGUUCUCCCCCCAGCGGCGCCCGGCUGCCUGUGCAGCAUCUCGUCUGUUUGAUGGAGUCUGAAAGCAUCUUAUUGAUGGGGGUCAGAGAUUAGAAGCAGCCGUGCGAGGGGAAGAGAGAGAAAGGAGGGUCCCAUACGGUGGCCUCAAUGCGGCUCAGACACACACACACACACACACACACGUACUAACAGCUCUUCCACUUGUCUGUCUGUGAAUGGUAUUCAUUUGCUGAAUGAGUGAUUGAGUGUCAUAGAGAUUCACAGAAAACUCUAUUUUUCUUAGCCUUUCAUCCGGCUCCUUCGUGAUCACUGAAGACUUUCAUGAUGAAUUUAUUAAUAGCUACCAGUCUCCCCUCAAAGUUUCGAAAAGUCUGCCAGCCGACACGCGCACAUGUCCUGUCGAUCGUCCCGCUGGCGAAGCAGCGCUGUGGAAUGCGUGCAGAUGCCGCAUGUGUGUCGGCGGUCACGAUGUCCACAGCAGAUGCACAAAAACAGAAUGCCAAACCAAAGAUUUCAGAGAAACCACAUACUUCUGACUGAGAGGAACUGGAGGAGCGAUGAGGAUGGGGGAAAAUGCUCAGGUAAUAGACAGAAAUAAUGACAUUCUUCUCCCUGGUGUAUCAUUGUGUGUUUAUCUCAGGUUUAUUUCAGGUCUUCGCCUAAAGGACCGUCCGCCUACAGCUGUAGCUGACCGUGCUGUGGCAAUUAGAGGAGUGUUUUGGGUCAAGGAGAGAGCGAUGGUUUUGUUUGCCUGCAUCUCAUGAUUGAAUGACCACGUAUAGGACCAUGAAAGAAAAGAAGCCAAUUAAAUGCGGGGCGGUUUUGAUUUUUUUGUCCUGUGUUGUAAUUAGGCCCAGGCUACAAAAAAACCUCCUCAAGUACCUUUUGGGUUGUUUUGUUGUUAGGCCAUAUCAUUAGGGCCAAAAUGAUCCACCCAGGUGCUCACUGCCUGAAUAUGCUGAAAGACUAUGUAAAGAAAAACUGCCGUCCGGAGGCUUUUCUGGCCCUGCAACAAACUCUCUGGCUCAUACACAGACACUUGAGUGGAGUCCUUAAAUUCUGCCAAUCAAGCCAGUACAACGACGACAAACAUUUUCAAUAAACGAUAAAUGGACUUCUAACAUCUGGGAUUUACUUUCAGCCUGAGACUCUGGGUGCAUUCUGUAUAGGACGUCCUAAAAAUUGAGGGUAAUUUAUUUUUGUUCCUUGGACAUUUGAAAGGCACUUCAUGGCCGUCGUUACUUUUGAUGGUGCAGAACCAGCCAGUGAGUCACGUGCAGCGGCUCUAAAUGUCUUCCUUCAUUCACAACCACACCCAGUCAAUCAAAUGUGUGCAUCGCAAGUGUUUCCAUUGUGAGUCCUCACAGCAAAUUAAAUAAAACACUUUUUGGUUGCCGUUAUAUUUCUCUCAUAUGAAUUUCUUGUUAAAGAUAAUUUAUUCAGCUUAAACCGCAACACUACAGGAUCCUUCGGUUUGCACAUCGGACCAACUGAUCAAGGCAGCAUGACCCCAUAUAGACACACUCACCCACACACACACACAUGCUCUUACACACCUCUCCUGCUGCCUGAAUCUGACAGAAACGGACAGUGCAGCAGCUGCUGUCGGAACGGGCGGUGUGGCCGUGGGGGGCCGUGGGGGGCACGGGAAAGAUUUAAGUGUGCCAUGUUAAUAACUCGCAAGUGGCCCAGGCCGGUGGUCACGCUUGUUAUUAAUGUGCCACCACACUCCUGGCAUCUGAUCCAAGUACACAUUCCUGGUGCGACGGGCAGCAGCCGGACCAGGAGGACAGCUGACAACAAGCGUGGGCGACCACGGGGAACACCCACCAUCACCCCCCCCCCCACACCGAGACCCUCACCUGCUAACCACCCCUCCUUCUCGACCACAUAAUCCUUUCAGAUUGUCUGUUUUGAAAGGAACACAAGACAGAAAAGUGAUCAACACUAAAUUUAAGAUAACGUUGAAUCACAGCAUGACAAAUAAAAUACUUAAGCAUAAAAGGCAAAAGUAAAGAACCGCGGCAGGCUGCAAAUGUCAGAGCUGACAGAAGCUGAAAUUUCAAAGCUACAACCGCCUCAGUGUGCUGUAACUUAUUCUCACUGACACUACUGAGAUACACUUUGGAAAAAUGACCCAGUGGGGGGGUGGGGGGGGCCCACUGCGAGUCAACUGCCAGGAAUAUAUUUUUUCCCCCAAAAGCACCUUCCUUAGUGUUCAUGUGUACACAAGAAGUGGGGGCUGACACGCAGACCUCAGCCUUGGCUGCCGACCAGCGGCCGGAGCGGCGUAGGCAGCAGGGCCGUGAGAAACAGGGGGGCGACACCCAAAUGUCAUCACAGCUGCAAAACUGCUGACUAUAAAGCCAAAUUACAGAAAUAUGUACCCCGAGGCCUCCCGACAAUGAAAACAGAGCCGCGUUUGAGUGGCUGCUGCCCGCGGAGUGCAGUGGACGUCGCUCUGCGUUGUGUUUCGGGGGGUUUACUAUGAGCGAGGGACUCUGGAUUCCACAGCUGCUGGCAGGCAUCAGACUGCACGUGUCUGUGGUUGAGUGGGAAUUCACGAGCUCCGCUGUUAUUGCGCUACGUUAUUACUCAUCACGUCUGAGGCCCAAUGAAUGUACUAUUCACAUAAUGUGUGAGGGCGGGCCUGGCUGAUAAAUGGCCACAUUAUGCUGACAUUUCUCUGAAUUACAUGUAUUUCUUUGAUUCGUUUUUUUUUUUUUUAUAUGUUAAUUACCAAUAUAUAUUGUAAAGACGUUUAGGGGGAAGCAGUAUUUUGUAUUACAGAGUGUAUUUGUUUUUGUUUGCUUAGCUAUAGUAUAAGUAGCGCAUUACAGCCAGCUUGAGAAGUGUGAGCGUGUUCAAAGCUCCUCUUUUGCUGGAGUUUUUUGUGUAGUUCGGAGGCCAUAAGCACUGUGUGUGGCCGUGUGUUCAGUAUUUGUUGGGGGUGGAUGUGUGUACCGAGACAUGCCGCGUGCUGCUCUUCAAACUCAAUCUCCCUUAUCAGUUCAAGCCACUUAAAAUCCCGCUAAUAUUCAUAUCAGACUGAAUUAAACUCUUUUACCCCAGGAUGGCUUUUGAUCUUCACAGGAGAAUAAAUAAUACACUCAAUAUUUAUGGGCGCAGUAGCUGAGAUAUUGUCAAACAUUCCCCAAAUUUGAAUUAAAUUAGUUGAUUGUUAUUCCUUUGGGGAAUUCUUCCAAAUGACACUUUUUCACGCUGCAUUAGAAUUUAUAUUAAGAGAAUCACAAUUUUAUGCCUUAGUGACCGAAAUUUUCCGUAAAUUCAAUAUUAAAUGAAUAUUUUCAAGACAUCAGAAAAAAACGACUUUUUACGUUCACGUCAGCUCAAAUUUAAUCCGGCGUCCAUUUCAUGCAGGUUAUGGUGCAGCCGUGGAGAAACUAUAUAUUUCUAUUACAAAUAUGCACUUCUCUCAUAGCUCUGUGUUUGUGUGUGUAAAGAUUAUCCUGCACAGUGAAAACAGCUACAGUCCUGCUGUCCCAAAAUAUUAGCCAUGUGUGUAUUUACAUCUACACAGGUGUGUGUCAGCAUGUUUAUAUAUACUAGUGUACAAUAGUAACACGGUACAGGUUGGGGUUUAUUAUUGCAUGACAGUGAAGCUGGGAAAGUCGGAGAGUGGCAGAGGCCCGUGCGGCUGGCUGCGAGGGAGGUAGAUUUGUGGUUUGGGUGGGUUGAGGGUGUUAGAGAUGUGAGCUUAAGGAAGGCGGAUGAAGAGAAGGGGUGCAGCAGAGAGGGAGAGAAGGCCUGUGCUUGUGCCUUUCAAGGUGUGUUAUUUGUUCAAGGCUGUCCAAACAUUUACAGAGCGCUGGCAGCCCUGGAAUGCAGAGGCAGGGCCCAGGCGGAGAGCUGUAGCCGUGGGAAACCGCUGCUCUCCUCAACCUCUGCAGACUCGUUCCCCUUCGGGCAGAGUGUCAACACAGACAGUGCCAGAGAUGUGUGCGCCUGAUAGUGACAGGUCCCGUCAGCAGCCUCCCACACACACACACACUCACACACACCUCAGACACACAUGCCUGCACACACACACGCGCAGCUCUAGCCGGCACACAGCCGGGCUCACUGCCUCGCUUGCAGACUGACACACAUUAACAGCCAGGGGCAGAAGCCAGAGGCAGGCGGCCUCCCGCACACACGCACACACACACACCUCACAUACUCCUGAUUAUUUAAGUCCUUUGAAAAACAAACAGUGAAGUUCACUAUUUCUCAACAGUUUUGGUCGCUUUUGUCUUCAGGAAAUAUAUGUUACACCCCAGCAUACCCAUUUUGGGUUUUAGCUUGUACGCUUGUUUACUCACCGUGGAUAUUAAAUGACAAAAUAACUAAUGUUCUGGGAAGCAUUUGUUGGACUCCUUUUCAAUUUAAGCAAAGAAAUUCAAAUCAUUUCAUUUAUUUAUUGAGUUUUUAGGUGUUGGGCAGAAAUUUGAGAUCACACCUCUUUCUGAUGCAGACAUCACUUGGGGCAAUCAAUCCCUCCCCACUAAGCAGCAUGUACAACUAUAAACAUGCUCCUCGGUCGGUUAAACAGAUUGAACUGCUAUUCAGUGACAGACACAUUGGUCAGUGCGGCAAAGACACAUUUAACUUGACUGAGGGAAGCAGAAAGAGUGAAUAAUUAAGCAUUCGCCUGUUACUGGGGUGUCAGUCAACACGUCUCCAGGUGGGGAAAUGCCGGUGCCAAGCACAAGAUGCAUUGUCUCGUUGAAACCCACACCAGGAAGUCAGUGUGCGCUGCUGAUGAGAUAAGAGCCGGCUUCAGGAAGCUACCUAGUAAUACAUGAGGUUCCCAGGUGCAGAGCAAGUUCACUCAUAUCUUCGUCUACCUGUUCCUGUACCUCAUUCAGAAAGAAACACCAGCCUCAACUGAGAUAAUGCAUGACUGAACUGUUGAACCUCACAACUUGCCACACACAGUUUAAAGUUAUGUUUGCUAAACAAACAUAACUUUAAUUUUGAUCAAUGCCAGAGUCAUUUCUCACCUAACACAAAAUGACACUGAGUGGCUUUAGAAUGAUUGUGAUCAACAAUAAAACUAAAAACCUUGACAAGCAGGUCUCUCCUUGUCAAUCCAAUUCAUUGUUUAUCUCCUUUCCAUCCUUCUGCGGUUGGGACAGAAAAUUCCGACCGUGCUGGUAUUUUCGAACCAUUUUCAAACUAUUUACUGUCCACAUUUAGAUGGCAAAAGAUAAAGGAAAACACAGGAAAAGACUGCUCUGACUACUUGAAUGCCAUUUUCUUAAAACUAUUUUUUCCACCCUUUAUGACUUAUACAGAACAAAAAGGGAGAGUUGAGAUUGGAUUUGUGAACUUGUGACCUGGACAUUUCAAAAUCGAGUCAUUAAGCCAGAAAAAGGAUAAACGGAAAAUUCUUUCCCAACUCGCCGCUAAGGCAACAGUGAUUGUGAAACGUUGUGUGGGAACCGUCCUCAUUUGAUUAGGGAGAUUUAUUUGCAUACAUUAACCAGACCCAUUGUUUGUGUACACCUGUCCUCAGGUCGGUGGAGCAGCUGUUAAACACAAAAGGGGAGGUGAACGCCUGCAAACGAGACGAGCUCGGCGAUGCUGCACACAUGCAUGAUAAUUUGAGUGUGAAGGUAUGACAAAGCUUGCGGGAAACUUGCUCAUCACCCUCCUCCUCCUCCUCCUCCUCGCACGUCUCUUUGUCCUCACGUCUGGCACACACUUACCAGCUCCUUUGGCGCUGCAGCCUCAUACACCUGCCCUGCACCGCUGCGAGAGUCUCGAAUUUCAGCGGUGACGCAACAUCCGACCAAUGAGCUACGGUGAGAACGGUUAGAGAGUGUGGUGGGAACUCUCCUCCCAUCGCUCCUCGCUGUACCUGGGAACCAGCGCUGCCUCAGGGAGGGGCCCCCGAGCCGCCCGCUGUCUGAAUGAAACACCAAACAAAAACUCUCACCAACAGGUGAGUUACACGAGUCAAUGUUGGUUUUUCUGAAGUCUAUUAUUUUCCCUUCCCCAUCAAUUAUUCCCAUUCAUGGCUGGCACACUGCUUUAUUUUUUUGGCAGGAAUGAAAAAAGAAAGGACAGAGAAAGAGAAAGAAACAAAACAAUCAAAGUGUGGGAACUUUUCCAUGUUCCUUUUUCUUCUUCCGAGAUCUUUUAUCAGAAUUAACUCUGCUUACACCGGUAUUUGUGCACCUGUGGCACAGGAUUAAUGGAUCAGCUUCUUCUUUGUGUGCAAAAAUAAGCGCUGUGAGUUAUUUUUAAUUCCAGGUUUCAGAGAGAAAGGCAUUUAAUCCUGUGCUGAAUAGUUAUAAACACUUUUCGAAGUGAACGUCUAGGUAGAAGACUGCUGAUGCAAGUCCCACUGCAAGUGUUUCUGAAGUUUUCAUAUUCAAACAUAUGACAAUAUGAGUUAUGCUGCCAGCUGUAAGGACAUCCGUUUCUUCCCUUAGCUGAAUGACUAUUUUGGAAAUGCCUCUUGACAAACCAACAAAUCCAACAGUGCCUCCCUCAGUACAGACACGAGUAAUGCCUUAAUGAAACAUCUGUCCUUUUUACCCAGCAUGAUCUGUUUUAAAAAGGAGAGUUUAGAGGCUUUUAUGUGAAAGAAAACAAAACAUCAAUCAUUUACUAGUAGAGCUGAAAUCGUUGUUGUACUGUCAAUUUUUGAGUCCACUGAAUGUAAAUGAAUGUUCAUCUCGUAAGUGUAAUUUAAGUAGUUAUAGGCUUUUCUCUGUUUGCACAGUUUUGGGAUGCAUAAAGGAUUCUUGACCAAAUCGGCUUGGAUCACCAGUACAACAACAAUCAUACCAAAUGUGUUAAAUAGACAAUACAUGCAUUUCACUAGACCGCCAGUAAUCUCUGAUGCUGGAUUAAAGUGGAGGCAGUGCGUUUCUCCGAAAUCUAAAUAAGACUUAGGUUCUCUUCACUGAACAGCAACAAUGCUGCAGUCUAUCUUGCAUCAGCUGAUUGAUUCAUGCUUUAGUAGCUGAUAUAUGUGGACAGGACACAUGAGCUCUCUUCAUCCCCCCUCUAAUGGAGAUCAACUUAUUGUCAUUAGACGUAAUCUUUGCAUGACAGCAUCUAUUUUUGAAUCCUAUGCUUGAUUUGCAUAGGCACACAUGAAAGAUGCUCAUGUGUCUUUUUAUUUUAUUUUCUUUUAAUUUUCCCCAAAGAUACAAUUAUACAAUGUAAAUUGCAUCUUUAUAGCACAUGGAAUUUGAAGGGAGGUUUUUAUGGUUGCUGACGGGCAUUAGAUCCUCUUCAAAACAUGGUAUAUGCUUUAUAAACUAUACGUUUGUAGUACAUGAACCUAAAGGCAAGAGCCCAUCGCCCAUUAUCACAAUACCCAAAGGGACUUUCACCAGACCAAACACUGCUCGGUGCCCAAGCAGAGAGGUGUUUGGUGUUAGGUGUGUGUGUGUGUGUGUGUGUGUGUGUGUGUGUGUGUGUGUGUGUGCGUGCGUGCGUGCGUGCGUGCGUGUGUGCGUGCGUGCGUGUGUGUGUACUUGUAUGUAUGAGUUCAAUUACAAAUCAGCCUAUUAACAAGAUAGACACCUACGUGUGAAAGAAUCUACCAUCCUCUUUUACUGCAGCCCCCCGACAGAGCUGCAGCAUCCACUUGACUGGCCAAUAAAAACAAGCAAAAGGCUGACAUUGCACUUCAUUUAACACCGCAUGCCCUUCACUCUGCCUCCUACCUAGACAAUGGUCAUCUGCAGGGACUUGGCUCUGUUGAGAGCUUCAUGUCCAUAAACUAAGACACCAGACAACAAUAGAUGAGCAGCUGUUUCCUGGACAUGCUGUGUGUUUAGUGUCCUACAAGAAGGUGCUUUAUGUCAUCUUGUGGGACGCAGCUUGAGUUGCCAGGUGACUGAAUGACGCAAUCUUUCAAUUGCUGUGCUUGUCAAAUUUGAUUGAUCAGAAAGGAAUACAGGUUGGAAGAGCCUUUAAAAUCACCUCAGAGUUUAGUGAGUAAAUGGCUGAGUUGAUUUGACCCGGGUGAGGAGGAUGUGCGCUCUUUAGAGGGUCAUUCACACAGAGGUGUCAGGUGUUAGAGUCAGGUUUGUCCAACAAUUCCCCGGAGCAAUGCUCACAGUGGGCCAUGACCUCGUCCCACAUGCUAGCUGGCUUUUCACUGCUUUGAAUCUGUGUAACUGAAGAGAGCGAAGAAACACCUGAAGCCAGCGACCAACAAACCAACAGCGACCAUUAUUUUGAAUAGGCUAGUUGGUAUUUAAAUAACAUUGAAGUCCCUUUCACUUACAGUCAUCAACCGUAGCGCCUGAACAUACAUGUCUGACAAUAGAUGCUUGGAUAUUUUAAUCCAUUUUAAUCUGUUCAAUAUUAGAAUAAUUGUUCCCGCAUUUACUGGGUUUAUGAGGUCAUUGAAGGCCUUUUUUUACUAAAAAAAUAUACCAAAGACAUCAGUAGCAGUGGAGUCAAACACAGUCGAUUCUAUUCAGUCUUUUCUGUUUCAACUGUGAUGCUUUCAAACUCAAACCUUGCUUUUCUUUACCUUUCUGACUGCUCUUCUCCCGUCCCUUUGUUACGUGCCUUUCAGUCCUCGGUUUACAGCAGGUCUACAGGGGAGAGGGACAUGUUUGCUCACUCUCUCACCAGAAGGGGCUGGCAAGAAAGCUGGCAAUCACAAUGAGCAAAUAUGUUCAUGCAAACUCACUCCUGCCGAGGGGGUUUGCGGACUGUUUGUUGGCGUAUGCGAGACGAGGAGCUGGAGGACGUGCCGUGACCGAUGGGCCCUGAUUUUACAGCUGUUAUAUUCCUUUCACAUGUGCAAACUCACGGAGGUGACGGCUGCCUCGAGUCAAACAGGCGCUGGUCACACCCACCGCCACGUCUCUGCACCGCCGGGGGAAGCAGCGUCUGUCCAGUGUCCUGCAAAAUAUAGAGCAGGCCAAUGCAGGUCACUAAAGUGAAAAAACAUACUGAUGUACAGUUACGUCUUCGUGCAAUGCACGGCAUUGUGUCAGUUGUGUCCAGAUAUUACGAGAUAUUUGCUAUUUCAGUACAAAACUAAUGUUUGAAUCUUUAAACUCUUGAUGUUUUGCAAGCCAGGCUCUGUUUAGCUGUGUAAUUUUUUCACGAUUUUAUCAAAACUGCUUUGCAAACAUGUCCCUGUGGCUGAAGAUGCAGCACAAACUGAAUACAGCUUGGACAUGCUGGUGUGAUAAUGGGGUCUAUGCGUCCGGUUUUUCAGGGAUCAUUUACUUUGAGACUGAUUCACACUGUAGUAAGCAGAGCCCAAUAGUUAUAAUCAGCAAUAACAAAACUCUGAAUGAAACGCUGAUCAAACAGAAUUCUGGACAAUGUUUAAUCUAUGAAGGUUGAAUUACCUUCUUUGUACUUCUGGGUAUCCUUGGUGCUGACUGUGCAUGGCGGAGUGGGACGAAGCAUUUAAGACAAGUUGCACAAACAGGUAUUCCAUCUGGACUUAAAGGUGACGAUGUAAUAGUCUUUAUCGCCACUGCUGCUGCUCCUUCACUCGAUCGGUUUAAUAGUCAAACCCUGAUCUUCAUAGGUGAACUUAAAGUUGGAGAUUCGGCCAAGUCACACAAAAAAACAAUGAACAUGUGAUUACUCUACUAAAUAAGAGAAAUACAUUGCAAUAAUAUGCGAUUUAGCACAUACUGAAUUGUUUCCAGUAUGACUGAAUGCAUACACAAAAGAGACAAGUAGAUAUGUAAAAUACAAAUGAGUAGAUACACAUUCCAAAAAGGUAAAUACAUUUGAGGCACGGACUUCUGAGUCACAGCCCAAAGUUAACCUUUUACAAAAACACCCUUCACAGUUUGCAGCAAAAGAGUUGCCCCCGAGCCGUAAUGUGCCUUUUCCUCAGUAUUUCCAUGUUCCCACCCUGUCUGCCCACAGAGGAAGUGACUUGUUGCAGCAGCACAAAAGCCACAUAAUAAAGUUAGGGGGGAAUUAGUAAAAGAAAGCAGAGAGGAACAAGGGUGUGAAAACACUCAAGAAGGUGCUGUUUUAUGGCUGUGUGUUAAUUGAAGUGUAGUUUAAAAAAGAAUCCCAUAUUCUUGAGGGAAGACCGGAGAGAGCUGAGGACAAAAGGGAGAGGGAUGCACUGCUGGUAAAAAGCUGCUCCUCACUUUUACCCCGUGGACUUCUGAACAAAUACAGUGGAAAAGACAUUAUACACAUAUAGUACUGAAAAGCUCACAACAUGCAUUCAGGAACAGACACGUUAAACAUGAACAUAUGACCCCUGAAAAAUACAAAAUCUGAUUCUACAAAAAGCCAUGUUAUGCAUUCUUUUCAAGUCUACUAAAGAAUGUUAUUAAUCCGCUGGAAGCGUUAUAACACGUUUGCGUCUUUCCAAAUGCCAAAAGGCACUUUCAUGGGUACUUAAUUAAAUCGGAUCCCAUUGGGAAAACAGGUUUUAAGUAUCUCUGUCUUUGUCAUUUUACGGUUUCUCUUCAGCCCCACAGCUCAGCCAUUUUUAAGCCAGACCAUCCCUGGGUUCACUUCCACGAGCCUCCUGCUGGAAGCUGAUCCCUAAAACAAAGCCCUGUUUACACUAACGGCCCACAAGGCCCUUUUGCCGCAGAAACAAAUAACAGUAGGGGGAAGUCAAUAGAAUUUAACAUUUUGACAUUUUUCCUUCAGCUCUCAAAACCAAUAUUGACCCAGCUCCCCUGCAUGGCUGUCUUUGGUCCAGGACCUUGGCAUACAAAUCAAGCCAAUGCAGCCGGAACCACAGGCAGCCAGUCGAGAGGUGGGCCCAACAAUAGCCAACCCAGGAUGGGGCUCUCCCACCAGGCAGGCAGAGUGGCCACUGUCCCUGGUCUCAAGCUGGUCCACAGGGCCUGAUGUAUGAAAGAACUCAUGCUAUCCCACCCGCUUUAAUGAUUACAUCUGAGUGGGCCGAUUGUGUCUGUACUCCAGACCCUGCUGGUGAGUGAGAUGAACAAGUAGAAGGGCCAGUGGGGGCCCUCACAUGUGCAGAACAACCCCCAUAGCGGGCCAGUACUUCUCAAAGGCCAGAUUACAAUCAAUUAGAGCGUAAUGAGCGGGAAGCUGGACUUGUAACCUGUUGCACAGCGUAGUUGUUUAGAAACCUCCCAGUUGGCGAACACAUCAAUAACCUCUGAAAUAGCUCCGGACUGAAAGCAAGACGCAGCGGGAUGCGUCUGAGUGCGUGGCCGUCUAUAUGUGAGUCCUGCCUCGCCCCCCUUCCUCCAACCCGGCCGCGUCGCGCCAUGACGGAAGGCAGAGAGAGGGAACGCAUGGCAACACAACAUGUUACUCUAAAACCGAUCUCCGUAUCUGCAUGACACUUUUUACUUCCAUGGAUUCUUCCUUUAGCCAUUUGGCCAUGCUGAUAGAGCUCAUACUAGCAGGUGACCUGUGACUCAGAGCACACGCAGAAGCAGCAAACUAAUUAAAGGAAUGCCGCUCAACAGGUUGCAUUCUUCUUUCUUGCAUUCUUCUUUCUAUCAAGCGGUAAGUGGCCUUGGACAAACGCUUCUGGCAAAUAAAUGCAAUGCAAUGUCAAAGAAAGAUAUUAGUUUUCAGGGAAAGAGCAGGGUGAGCUCUUACCUGGGGAGCCCUUCUCUCCACGGGGGAAGGUUCUCUACAGAUCAGUUUGCUGCACAGCAGGAGGACCAGGGGUGGUCAUAUAAGGGAAGGUGAAACAGCAGAGGACUAAAAGAGUAAAAGCGACAUUCUUGCCUGAGGGUUUAGUGGCGGUGUAAGCCACGGUGUAAGUGUAAGUGAAAGCAAAUUUCCAGUAGUACAUUUUCUUCUACAUCUGCCGGCAUACAAACUGUGUGUUUGAAAAAAGUCAUCAUAACAGGAGUGAGCCAAUUGGAGGGACUACUCCCCCACGACUACUCCCCUUUUGUUACACGGUAAUCAUAGCUCAAAUUGUUUUACAGGCACAUUCAAACAAUGGCAUGUUGGAAUAAAAAAAUGCAUGCCGUUGUGAUUGGGGGGCUGCGGAUGCUGUUGGUGAAAUAUGAUGGAGGAAGGUCACGUCGAGGAAGAGCUCUUGUUACUACGAAGGCAGGUAAACCGCAUUAACUUUGCAAAAACUGUGCAUUGCUUGAUUACAUCGACAUUAGGGUAAAUGUUGUUACACUAAGGCAAUCAUUUUAUUUUUAUUAAACUACAAGAUGCUCCAUCUAAAAAUCCCAGAUGAGGUCUCAAAAAUGUGAGAAUCGCGGCUCCAUAUUUCUGAACCUUAACCAAGUGCUUAUUCUAAACUUAACCAAAGGUGUUGUAGUCCUGCUGAGUGGAGAAUGUUUGCAUCCAAACAUCGGGCCCAGCAUCGACUACCAAACCUCGGUGGAGUAACCAAGCUAUGAGCUCAUGCACCUAAAAGCUGUGUGUUAGACGGCUGCCACCGUAUGACUCGUUUCUUUUAGUGGGACAAUAUUAAAAAGAACUCACUCUUUUAAAUCUCAGUCUCCACAUGCUCUCGGUCUCGUGUUCAGAUUGUGUUGGGAACGCUCCUGAGCCCACACCGACCAUAGCGAUAUACAAUGCUGUUAGUUUCCUCACGGCGAGCUGUUGGGCACCACCGGUCACCACUGUGCUGAAACACUUUUAAUCAACCAGCACCUACUGUGAAAGCCCGAACCCCACCCGGCUCCCCACCCGGCUCCCCACCUGCCAAAACCGAGCGGUUCACCUCAGCAACCUCCAAGCAGCAGCCAGUAUUUAGUAAUAUUGUGUGGCAGUCCAGCAGCUCCUACCAUAAUGUACCCAGUGACAGCACUAACCUCUCACAGCGCCGGUACCCCCUUCUGAGGUUAUAUUACAACACAGCGGGAGCUCGGAGCAAGCAGAGGAGGGGAAGGAGUGAUUGUUUGGUUCUCAAGACGAGCUGGCUUUUUCCCAGGCUGCGGCUCCUUCUCCCAGCAUGCCAUGCUCGCUGCGGUUUCAUUAAAAUUUAAGUACACAGAGUUGCUCAAGUACAUGGUCCCGUUGGCCCAUUUCCUCCAACUACCCGUCACCCCAUUUAGAAGUUGCCAACCACAGGAAGAAAAAAAAUGUCUCUGACCCUUGAGACCCUUUGUGAGUAGAAUUGUGUUUGUGGGGAAACGCCGCGCCGCACGGUGGGACGGUACGUCGGGUUAAUUUGUUCUAUGAUGAAAUAAAGGAGAUUGAAAUAAAAUCGAGUAUUUUUGUCUUGCGACAACACACAGAAACAAAGACUAUAGAUUGCAAAAGAAGUCCCGACCGGAAGGUUUUCCCCUGGUGCACAGGCGUUGGCCAGUCUGUUACCACUCUGCUCGGCCCACUGAGGCUCAGCAAUCGUACUAGAUUAAGUGAGAGCUUGCAGUGAACCCAAGCAGAGUACUGACAUCACCAUCAACCGCGGCCUUGAAGAAAAUCACAGAUGUUUAAUGUUUUAUCCCUAAUUGUUGUCUGGCGUUCUCUGUUCAGGUCUUUUGGGUGUCCUGCUCGGUUUGGCCAGCUGUGUUUUAUAGGGCUUUUCUUGCCUGUUUGCUCCAUGACGACAGUUUCCAAGAUUCCCUUCCUCUAAUGGGGAUGACAAUUACGUCGAUGAAGAGAUCGUUGUCUCCGGUAGAUUUCAGAGGAAUAUUUUCGGUUGUUGUCCUGUUUUUCUCUUAGAGCUCCACUAAGAACACAUCAGUGAACCGCACUGUUGCACCGACACAUUAAUAUUUAUCCAACUUUUAUUGGAUUGUAUCAAUGAUUUUUUUGGAUACUCUUUAAAAUGUGGCCUUGUAUAAAAAUAAAUGAAUGUCCUUGAUAAUCUUUGUCAACAUUAAUGCACAUCACUAACUUUGUUUUUUCCACGGUGUAUUAGUACUUUCUCACCUCGCAUGAGGUUCUAUCUGGACGUGUGCUGAUGUGAGUGUUUCGGUACAGAGGGUGUCACAUGUGUACAGACUGUAAAGCCCUCUGAGGCAAAUUUUGUAUUUGGGCUGCACAAAAUACAUUGAAUUGAAUUGAAGUGUCGGGUGCACUGUUUUCACUCCGUGCUGUUACGCUCAUUAAUAAGAAAGAAUACAGUGGAACAUUUAAAAUGUCACAGUUAUGCAUUUUAUUAUUGCAUUCAACAGAACUUUUACUGAGAUACAUUUAACCACGCCCUGGCUUCACUCACAUCUAAAACAAAUAGCAUGUUGACUGAUUUAUAUAAUUAAAAAUGAGAAGUCUAUAAUACGUAGCACAACAAGAUAGCUGCUUCUGGCGGUGUGUUGGUCUGUGUUCAUUACUCUGCAGUGCGAAGGUUCCUUUUUGGAGCUGACAGCAUUGGCAACGCUGACCUCUGACUGCUGGCUUUUGUUGUGCCUCAUUAGGCAGCAGGAACACAUCAGCCAAUACUACUUAUUAGCCUUUCUGUUGUGGCAACUACCAAGCAAAUAGGCUUGGACUCGCCUCUUGUUACCUAAGCUCCCCGCUUGGCCUCUGGCAUCAUACAAGUGAAGAGUCUCUUUCCUUGGAGAAGUGCACUCCCCGAGGCCCAGGCCAGCACUGGAGCACUUGUCGGAGACCUGCAGCAUUACAACGUGAAUGGUGCGGCCUCAAUGCAAAUUCUUCCACACUCUCAGGCGGCAAAGGCCAGCAUUGACUGACUGGUUGUGUUAAUUUAGCUGCCUUUCACUCCUACUUGAUCCACAGUCUUCUGGACCUCAAUGGAAAUAGAUUAAAAAACAUCUGAAGUGUCAGCGCAAGAAUGUGCCAUUCAGACUGGAAGCAACGCACCAUUAACAAAUGUCAGCCCGCAAACUACCAGCUGUGGUUAAACAAACCAGGGAGGUAAGCUAUACAGCUCGCCGAGGCUCUGGUGUCAGCCAUUGAUAGCCUUGCGCAUUGAGUGGAUUCAGGGGAGAGUCGUUUUAACAAGGUGGGUGAUCCACAUCAACAGGAAGCAAACAAGCAGCAGAUAUGGAGGCCGUGGCUGUUAAACCACAAGGUUAUUGCAGCAUCCUUACUGUGGGUGGGGAGGGAGGGGGGGGGACUUGUGCCCUUUCUCAGUCAUUUUACUCAGUAAAGCUCAGGCUGAGGUUACUCAGAAGAACGGCUCAUGCCCUCAACAGCCAGUCUCACCAGCCGGACCGAGUCAUAUCCAGAGGGCAGCCAGAGAUCAGCUUCGGGCAAAGGGGCUUUUGACUCUUUGGGCUCGGUGUGUGUCGACUGCAGGCCUCAUGCGUGUGCACUGCAGGGCCGCGCACUUCACCUGGGAUUUACAGGCUGCUUUUGACAAGGUUGCAACCUGUCCAAUGCACCUUUUUCCUAAAUGGUGAGGAGACAGUCUGAGAAGUUACUUCUCAGGGUGUCAAAAGAUGAUGCUGCAAGGGCCGAGGUGCCUAUUUGAGCCCGUUACAAUCUCUCGUUGUCCUGAAAAAUGACAUUAAAAUCAUUUCACAGAUAAAACAAGACACGGCUCAUCUUUUCAGAUCAAAAAUUCGUUCUAAAUGCUAAAUGCUUCAUAAUGUCUGCCAUUUAGUGUCCUGCAAGUUAAGUCUGCAGGUUUUUUUCAACUUUUUCGCUGAAACGAAGGAAGUAAGAAGUAAUUCAAAUGCAAGUAACAGAAGUGAAGGACCUCGUGGUGCAGAAAGCAGUACGUAGUGUCACCCAAAUGUAUUGUAGUGUGUUUAGUCUGCAACAGCUAAUCAUAUCAAAAUCAUAAGAAUGGUGUUAAUUGGUGAAGAUUAUGUUGCUGAUAAAAGUUUGUUUGUAUUAUUUUCUGCAGUAAUCCAAUGGAAAAUCGUAUUUCUGUCCAGUGCGACGCUGACCUCUGGAAUGCGCCACUCAAGAUACUUUUUACCUCUGCCGUUUGCUAACAAGCAAAGGUUCUGCAAGGUGCAUCGGUCCACACCGUCAAACAUAAAAAUAAAUGGAGACAUUCUUUUAUUUUCAUUUACUUUCAGUAGAUUUUAACAUCUGUUGACGGGUCGUGGGCUCGGACAGGUCAUAUCAGGCCACAGUUGUCAGCCUCACGCAGCGAGAAGCAGUGAUGAAUGGGAGGUCAAAGGGCUGUUUCAUGCUAUGUGACACGCUGGUUGAAGCGGUGACAGCACGGCCGCCUGAGCGCGUCACGUGUUCUGAGCGGUGGACAGACGGCUCUGUGUCCCGCGCGGUAGCGCUGCGUUGCCUUGUGUGGAGGCAUGCAGCAGGUGAGUGACGAUGCUACCAGGUGAUUGGUCUUUCCACUUCCUAUUGUUCCCCUGUCGCUGAUAACCCCCAGUGACCCGGGCAAAAGGAAGGAAGGCCGCAGCUCGGAUUGUGGAGGCAGGCUUGUCAGCUCUUUGUCCUCAGAAAACUUAUUAACUUAACAAGUCCGCCGAGAAAAGAAUGAUUUCUCACACGGCUCGCCGUAUGGUUAACCCAGAGUAAACAGCGAGGGAGGCAGAGGAAAGGAAGGAAGGGUACUAUUUGAUCUCCGAGGAGUGGAGCGAGCACAAGCCUGCCAGGAGGAAAUCAAUUUUAUUUCCAUUCAGAAAUAACUGAAAUUGACGGGAUGACGAGUAGGACGGUUGAAGCUACAUUUAUAUCUGGUUUUAGAUUAAUUACAUUUUUACAAACACUUGUGUGAAAAUCGUAAAAGUAAGUCAAGGCGUUAGAAGUUAGGAUUAACACAACAAAAUCCUGCAUGGGAUUAUAAUAUAGAGAAAGGUUCAGGGUUUGAAACGGCAUUUUUGGAAGACUCAUGCCCUUUGUGAUGAUGUGAGGAUGUGAAGAUGUGGAGGUCCUGUCCUUGAGACUAAAUCUACAUGUUACAAUACAUGUUAACAUUGAUUCAAUGAAUCUGGUUCUCCAGUAUAUCGCCGCUAUAACAAUAACAAUCCGCUGCUUGAAGCAGACAGAGGGAAUAGUGUUGGCGGACAGACAGAGACCACAGAGGGACCCGAGUCGGCCGGGGUCACCACACACCUCGGGCACAUAGCUGAUGUCACGCGUCUGCUGCCUGAAUUGGGCUCUGUUCAGCUCCGCUAAUGUGCAGGUCUGAGUCGUCUCGCUUCGUAAUCACUUCAGCUGUUUCACUUCAAGGGACGGAGGGGUGAUAAUGAGCUAAAUUGUUUUAUGUGUUAAGAGUCAGACAGCCUUAAGCCUGGAAACCGUAAGAACAAUUUGACUCGGUAUGUGGAGGUCUAAAGAUAGUCUGACACUAGCUAAUGUGUAUUUAAGUGGUUGUAUAAUGGUGAAGGGAAAGGAAUAAAUAUGGAACUGACUACAGGAGUGGAUCUGUAGACUCUGCACAAUAUGAACAAAUCUUUUGUGCAGCUAGAAGCUCAAAGGCGGCUUCCUAUCAAAAACUCUAUGCAGGGGAAAAAAGAAUAUUGAUCUUCACAGAGCACAUUGAUUUUUGGUUAAUAUCUUAAUAAUAAUGAUAGUAGGCUUAAUGUUUAAAUGUUAAAUUAAUAGCAUCCCAACAUGUUGUUUAUGACUUGACAGCAUUGACGGCGAUACUGCAUUUCAAUUUCAAUACAUUAUAUAAAUCACAUUACAGUCGAUAAUAUUACAUUGUUUUCAAAGGAUAUCAUUCUCAGUUUAAACCUUUAAAUGGAGAUUAAACAGAAAAACACAUAUUUGCCUGUUGUAAAAUGGUUUUACAAUCUUACUAUUUCCUUCUUAAAUCGAAGUAUGCAGUCAUUAAAAUGUUUUAAAUGUCCUCCAUUUGUUUCACGCGCUGCAGGAAAUGUAGCCUACAGAGGCUAAAUUUAGCUAGCUUGCUCCCAUGCUAUGCUAGGUUCUAUACAGCACUUCUUACAGAUUAUAUUAUUUUUGCAGAUUUGCAGAACGUCCUGCAAUCACAGGAGCUCUUUCGGGCUGUUUUAACUGUAGGGUGCAACUAUUCCCCUCAUGCACUGACAAAAUGAUUGCAGGUCAAAUUCAACACUCAGGUGAGUCAAUCCCACAACUCUGCACUACGUCACUUAAUCAUUGAAAACAGUGAAAACACGUGCGUGCUUGUGUCAUGGCUGCGCGGCUUCGAGAUCAAACGUGCUAGAGAAUGAAUCGACUUAUUGAUGAAUAACGUCGUUAAAUAUUUGCUCCGGCCGAGCAGAUACAGUCACUGUCGGUGAGUGGCCUACUUCUACGUGUGCGUAACUUGUAAUUGAGUAUUUAACAACUUAGUGUUACGUGUGAUCGUUUUAUUAGGCUUCAAAUGUGCUUGAAGGACGCCAGCGGUUCAUGGAGGCGUGUUUUUGAUAGUCCGUUGUCGCCACCUGGUGGCGGACAUGAAGUACUGCGCGUACCGUCGCACGGCAAACAAGAAGGCGGAAGACUCAGUAAGUACCAAAUAUUUGAAUAUUUACAGACAAACUAUUUGCCUUAUUCAUAAUAUCCUGUAAUACAACGUAAUAUAUUGUGCCAAAACACGAAACAUGAGCUCGUUUGUUAUAAUCUUGAAACCAGGCGUGUCUCCUCUGUUGAGGCCUCACAGUGACCAGGUGGUGCACUGCUGCAGUUCAGGCUUUGUGAAUUUUGAUAAUAAGGUAGCAUGAGCACCUAUACUGCCAUGUUUCCGCUCACCUUUCCGUGCAAAAGUAGUUUAUGCGUGGGAAAUGUUCCUGAAAGAAUAGCGCGUUCUUAAUAUAUGCGUCGACUCCCGUUUGAUGCCGAUUUGUAUUAUAAUGGGGCCGUUUAACAGAAGCUCAAACGUGUAGGACUCAAUUAGAACAAAGGAUAAAGAGCAAGAGAUUAGCAACACAUCGACACAAUUAACUAAAAGCUAAAUGUAGGCUCCAGAAAUCAAAUACUCAGGAAAGAAUUUAUAUCGAAAGAAGGCAUGAUGAGGACAUUCUAAAAUGUAAAAAUGCAAGUACAUUAUUAUUUGCUUGACUUAUAUUUCGUAUGUCAUAACACACAUUCCUUACUCCAUUAAGUCCCAGAUACUGCUCCACAUUUCCACCGAAAUUAAUGUCACAAAUUACCUUUCAAUCAAGACUAAUGAGUGAAUAUAUUAUCUAAUUAUUUUAUGAUUAGAUAAUACGUUGUUUAUUCUUUUACACCUUAAUGUUGUGUAAUAGGAAACUUUUUUCCCUCUUAUUGUCUCACAUUGUUUGGAGCUCUCUUCUCACUCGUAUAGCAGUUAAGCCCUUCUGCAAAUAUUCCACAUCAACCUGUGUGGCAUUUGUAAAUGGAGGAACAGGCAGAAUGCUUUCAAAAACGUCCUGAAAAAGUCCUUCUUGUCUUUCGUUUUUCUGUUUUUCUACUGUUUACUUUUACAUCAUUGAGACUUCACCCUCCUUUUUGACACAUAAGAUGCCACCGAUUUACAACUUGGGAUGCUUGGUAACCGGACCGUACACAAACCCUAUUUAAACGCCACGUCGCCGAGCUGCUGCUGAAUGCGUCUGUUUACUGGGGUUUGUUUAAUUCACGCUGAAUCGCCACGGCCGACGUGGCAAACAAUUAGGGUGAAAUGAUGUUGCUUAAAGCCACUCUGAAGCAUCCCAAACAGAUUCCAAUCUUUACUCCCGAGAGCUGACUCAUGAGAGCUUAAUCCUGUUGAUGGAAACAGAAUCCCACCCGUGUCAAAACGGCCCGCUCCCCCAGGUGCAGAAGCCACACAGGCUCUGGCUUGUCUCCCUUUAUCGUAGCUGAUGAAUUGAGAGGGCUCUUGGGCGCACCGCCCAGGACGGGGGUUGGCUAAUUAGACGGCCUGUUUUCUCAUAAAUAUCUAUAGUGAUGAAAAUUAGGCACAUAAAGGCUAUAGUUAAAGGCCUGUGAAAGUGUGGGAUGCAAACUGUGAAGGCAAAGCGGACAAUGUGUGUCUUUUACAAAUGCAACAAUUGGACUACCCAGAUUUCAUCAUGUGGAGUUCUGUGAUGUUGCUCAAAAUAUGGAAACUUUUACAAGCUCAACACUUUUCAUAUAGCUAACUCCCA